rnacentral:rRNA from 1 species
CCGGCGAUGUCCGAAUGGGGAAACCCAGUGCAAUUCGUUGCACUAUCGUUAACUGAAUACAUAGGUUAACGAGGCGAACCGGGGGAACUGAAACAUCUAAGUACCCCGAGGAAAAGAAAUCAACCGAGAUUCCCCCAGUAGCGGCGAGCGAACGGGGAGCAGCCCAGAGUCUGAAUCAGCUUGUGUGUUAGUGGAACGGUCUGGAAAGUCCGACGGUACAGGGUGAUAGUCCCGUACACCAAAAUGCACAGGUUGUGAACUCGAAGAGUAGGGCGGGACACGUGGUAUCCUGUCUGAAUAUGGGGGGACCAUCCUCCAAGGCUAAAUACUCCUGACUGACCGAUAGUGAACCAGUACCGUGAGGGAAAGGCGAAAAGAACCCCGGCGAGGGGAGUGAAAAAGAACCUGAAACCGUGUACGUACAAGCAGUGGGAGCACCUUCGGGUGUGACUGCGUACCUUUUGUAUAAUGGGUCAGCGACUUAUAUUCUGUAGCAAGGUUAACCGUAUAGGGGAGCCGCAGGGAAACCGAGUCUUAACUGGGCGUUAAGUUGCAGGGUAUAGACCCGAAACCCGGUGAUCUAGCCAUGGGCAGGUUGAAGGUUGGGUAACACUAACUGGAGGACCGAACCGACUAAUGUUGAAAAAUUAGCGGAUGACUUGUGGCUGGGGGUGAAAGGCCAAUCAAACCGGGAGAUAGCUGGUUCUCCCCGAAAGCUAUUUAGGUAGCGCCUCGUGAAUUCAUCUUCGGGGGUAGAGCACUGUUUCGGCUAGGGGGUCAUCCCGACUUACCAACCCGAUGCAAACUACGAAUACCGAAGAAUGUUAUCACGGGAGACACACGGCGGGUGCUAACGUCCGUCGUGAAGAGGGAAACAACCCAGACCGCCAGCUAAGGUCCCAAAGUCAUGGUUAAGUGGGAAACGAUGUGGGAAGGCACAGACAGCCAGGAUGUUGGCUUAGAAGCAGCCAUCAUUUAAAGAAAGCGUAAUAGCUCACUGGUCGAGUCGGCCUGCGCGGAAGAUGUAACGGGGCUAAACCAUGCACCGAAGCUGCGGCAGCGACACUAUGUGUUGUUGGGUAGGGGAGCGUUCUGUAAGCCUGCGAAGGUGUGCUGUGAGGCAUGCUGGAGGUAUCAGAAGUGCGAAUGCUGACAUAAGUAACGAUAAAGCGGGUGAAAAGCCCGCUCGCCGGAAGACCAAGGGUUCCUGUCCAACGUUAAUCGGGGCAGGGUGAGUCGACCCCUAAGGCGAGGCCGAAAGGCGUAGUCGAUGGGAAACAGGUUAAUAUUCCUGUACUUGGUGUUACUGCGAAGGGGGGACGGAGAAGGCUAUGUUAGCCGGGCGACGGUUGUCCCGGUUUAAGCAUGUAGGCUGAUUGUCCAGGCAAAUCCGGAUAAUCAAGGCUGAGGUGUGAUGACGAGGCACUACGGUGCUGAAGUAACAAAUGCCCUGCUUCCAGGAAAAGCCUCUAAGCAUCAGGUAACAUCAAAUCGUACCCCAAACCGACACAGGUGGUCAGGUAGAGAAUACCAAGGCGCUUGAGAGAACUCGGGUGAAGGAACUAGGCAAAAUGGUGCCGUAACUUCGGGAGAAGGCACGCUGGUGUGUAGGUGAAGUCCCUGCGGAUGGAGCUGAGACCAGUCGAAGAUACCAGCUGGCUGCAACUGUUUAUUAAAAACACAGCACUGUGCAAACACGAAAGUGGACGUAUACGGUGUGACGCCUGCCCGGUGCCGGAAGGUUAAUUGAUGGGGUUAUCCGUAAGGAGAAGCUCUUGAUCGAAGCCCCGGUAAACGGCGGCCGUAACUAUAACGGUCCUAAGGUAGCGAAAUUCCUUGUCGGGUAAGUUCCGACCUGCACGAAUGGCGUAAUGAUGGCCAGGCUGUCUCCACCCGAGACUCAGUGAAAUUGAACUCGCUGUGAAGAUGCAGUGUACCCGCGGCAAGACGGAAAGACCCCGUGAACCUUUACUAUAGCUUGACACUGAACAUUGAGCCUUGAUGUGUAGGAUAGGUGGGAGGCUUUGAAGCGUGGACGCCAGUCUGCGUGGAGCCAACCUUGAAAUACCACCCUUUAAUGUUUGAUGUUCUAACGUUGGCCCCUUACCGGGGUUGCGGACAGUGUCUGGUGGGUAGUUUGACUGGGGCGGUCUCCUCCCAAAGCGUAACGGAGGAGCACGAAGGUUAGCUAAUCCUGGUCGGACAUCAGGAGGUUAGUGCAAUGGCAUAAGCUAGCUUGACUGCGAGCGUGACGGCGCGAGCAGGUGCGAAAGCAGGUCAUAGUGAUCCGGUGGUUCUGAAUGGAAGGGCCAUCGCUCAACGGAUAAAAGGUACUCCGGGGAUAACAGGCUGAUACCGCCCAAGAGUUCAUAUCGACGGCGGUGUUUGGCACCUCGAUGUCGGCUCAUCACAUCCUGGGGCUGAAGUAGGUCCCAAGGGUAUGGCUGUUCGCCAUUUAAAGUGGUACGCGAGCUGGGUUUAGAACGUCGUGAGACAGUUCGGUCCCUAUCUGCCGUGGGCGCUGGAGAAUUGAGGGGGGCUGCUCCUAGUACGAGAGGACCGGAGUGGACGCAUCACUGGUGUUCGGGUUGUCAUGCCAAUGGCACUGCCCGGUAGCUAAAUGCGGAAGAGAUAAGUGCUGAAAGCAUCUAAGCACGAAACUUGCCCCGAGAUGAGUUCUCCCUGAGACUUUAAGUCUCCUGAAGGAACGUU